AAAAAAAAAGACAGACGGACAAGACGAAGCUAAAUGAAGGACAGGGAGGAAAAUUAGUGUAAACAAUAUUGGUAGUAAGCUUAGUUCUAGCUGGUAGAGCGGAAUAGUAGGCUACAGACUACGUUUGUUUAUUUUCCGAUCGUGAUUAGUGUUCAGUGUCUGUAACAAAGUUACCGUUGUAGCUAGAAGCUACAUUGAUCAGCUGGGUCCCGUAUAGCGGAGCGCUAACGUUACAGUGGACAUCGGCGAGAACUUGUAUUAAGCUGCAUAGGCUAUUUAGGCCUAUAUAAGAGCUACGUGACAAGGACUAACCUCGGUAGGCUACGGAUCAAUUUAAUUUUCUGGAGAGUAAGCUACAGUUUAUUGUUCACGUCGAGGCGUCCGGCUAACUAGCCCAUCUAAGGAAUCAGAAGAGUCCCACCGUAUCCCCUGGCAACCACAGGAGUCGUGGCUUCUCUCCCCUGCCAUCCAUCCCUGACGUCUGCGAGUGACCCAUCGAGUAGGGUCCGUCUGCGGCAUGGGCGUGUCCGUCAUUAAACAAGAACGCCCAUUGGGCGUUCCUGGUACUGCAGCAUCGACCAAUCACGAAGAGCUUCAAGUGACGCUGGCCCUGUAGGACAAGCUGGCGGACCCCUCCCACCCUCUCAAGCAAGCAGUGAAAGCCCUGCAGGACAAGCUGGCG